rnacentral:lncRNA from 1 species
AUGAGAAAGGGAGGCUGGCCGCCACCAGGGAAUGCCCGGGCAGGGAGAAGCAGGGCUCCGGGGAGGGUCUCGGCUGCCAGCAGCCCCUCCCCACGGUCCCCACCUGCGUGCUCACCUCCCAGCCCCGCCGCCUCCAGACGAGGGCAGACAAGGAGGCCCAGGCCACGGGUGGGUCAGGGACCCAGGCACCAUCCUCCCCAGCUUCUCGCGUUCCACACCCGCCACCAUCCCGGCGAGUCAGGUCAUCAAGCAGACGAGGACUGGCCGGGCCGGACAGAGGCCCGCGGAGGCCGGCACCUGCCCCGGGGCCGCAGAGAGAAGGGCAGCCUGCCAGAAUCUGCCAAUUCAAAAAUGUGCUUAUGGGACCUUCCCCUGCCGCCCCAAGGAGAGAGCCACAGAUGCGGGCUGGUCCUCGGAGAGGCGGGAGCACAAACACAGGUUCCCCACCAGGCCCUCCAGACGGCACCCAGCAACACCCCCCCCCCAGGGCCCAGGGCACCAGGCGGGGCACCAACAGCCAAGCCCCAUCAGCUCCACCGGCCACAGGACCAUGGGGUGGGGUGUCGCCUAGCAGAGGGACAGCGGGCCCUGUGUCUGUCGCACGGCACAUGGCCCCCACACUGGGCUCUGACGAGGGUACUGUCUAGGGGUCUGGGUGGCCCCCUGCCCCAUGUCCACGGGGACCAUGCAGCCUGUGGCUCCUUCUGACAUGCCAACGGCCACCAGGCAGGACUGCCUGCCACCCACACGCCAGCCCCCGGCCCUCCACUCGAAAACUGCAACUUCAGUGUGGGUAACGGGUCCGGAGCCAACACACAGGGCACGAACCUCAGCAAACACCAACAGUCGGCCCAGGCGGAGCGGAGCGACCCCCAAGCCUGCGGCCCACCAUGCAGCCCGUCUAGUCCACGGCCAGCCGGGAACCGCUUCCAGAAGGCUUGCAGGGAAUUAAGCUGUGUAUUGAGCAGAGCCGACACUCUCUCACCUGUAUUUGUAAUUUAAAUAAUGUAAGCUGGAAGAGGGUCCCCCUCGGGCAUAGUUUAGUAACUUAAAAAGCCAGCUCCCAGCUGGCAGGCGGCACCCUUCUCCUCCCUUCGGAGCUGAGGCAGGGUCUCCCCCUGGCACCCCAGGCUGGGGGCAGGCCGGGCCCCUGGGGUGGGCGUUGAGAGCAGGGGCUGCCCAGGCCAUCCCUCCUCGGGCCCCCGCACCACCCUGCGGUCCCCUCGUGGGCCUGCAGGUGUCCUUGACGCGGCCAGGUCCCUGGCGGAGGACGGAGGGGACGAGGGCCCGUGCCCACCGGUCACCCAACUCAUUAAAGACAGCGCCUCUGCACACACGACCGUCUUUAAUAUUCAUAGCUCUGCUCAUCUGCAUAUCAUGCCAUAAAUAGUCGAGGUAAAACACAAAGAUCCCUGCAUUUCUAAUUAUGCUUAAAAAUCUCAUGUAAAUCAGACCGACACAGAAAUACUAAAUCAGCCGCUGGGGCGG